rnacentral:rRNA from 1 species
UACGUAGGUGGCAAGCGUUGUCCGGAUUUACUGGGCGUAAAGAGCGCGCAGGCGGUUUAUCCAGUCGAAUUUUAACGCCCCCGGCUCACCUGGGGAGGGUCAUUCGAUACUGCUCGACUUGAAGGCAGGAGAGGGAAGUGGAAUUCCCGGUGUAGUGGUGAAAUGCGUAGAUAUCGGGAGGAACACCAGUGGCGAAGGCGACUUCCUGGCCUGUUCUUGACGCUGAGGCGCGAAAGCUGGGGGAGCAAACGGG